rnacentral:lncRNA from 10 species
AGAAAGCCCUGGGGGUGGGGGCGUGGAAGCAAAAGACAGCGGGUCUCUGCGAGUCACUCUUGUUCAGUCUCAGGACCCUGGGAGACACUCAUGGUUUCCUGGGCUUUUUCCCAGGAAUUUGGCAUUGAACUUGAUGUUAAUCUGAGGGAGUUUCCAGUUCCUGGCUGCGAGGCUGGAUGAGGACACGUGGCCCCGAGGCACAGAGAGCCCAGGGCUGUGGGCAGAGAAGAGUCAGAGCCUCAGGGGCCUCGCCCUGUCCAGAACUCCACGUGACAUGACGCCCCACAGAGCGAACCUCUGACAAACAAGCAUGGGGCCCGUGUUGCCCUAGUGGAUGGAAAUGGACGUGGGAAGCAAGAGAACAUCACCUAAGAACAAGGGCAUUCUCUUACAUAACCACAGCAUAAUUACCAAAAUCAGUCCACUUGUUCCCGUUAAAUAUUGAAGCCGUCAAAAUCAUCUUUCAAGAAAGGCACAGACCUGUCUCCUGGUCACAUCCUCGACCUUGGCAAAAUAAACUUCAAAACUGAUUGAGACCUGUCUCAUGAAUUCCUGAGAAAAACCUAUUUGCAUGAAUUCAUGAGCAGUUUAAUUUAUUAAAUCAUGAAUAUAUAACAUUACAUCAAUAGAACCAAUAAGAAAAAACAUACAAUAUCCUCUAUGCUGAGAAAGUGGCAGAAGAAUUUAAUACCCAUUUCUUGGAAAAUGAAAUAUUGGAAUAUACAGAAAAGUGAAAAAUCAAAAAGGGUGGUGUUGGCAAAAAAAGACUGGAUAGAUGGAAGGAACAAUGGAGGUGAUACAGAAUGUAGCAUGUGAAGAAGCAGAAUGAAAAAGGAUACAUCACAAAUCAAACAGAAAAAUUUACUAAAUCACUUUUUAUCUACUUCCACAAUAAUGCUGUAAAGAAAACCACUUCAAAGCUUGGUGGAGCAAAGCAAUAAACAUUUAUGAUUGCUCAUGAGCCUAGGGUCAGCUGGGUGGUUCUUCUGGUUGGGACAGGGCAAGGGUGAUCUUGGUUAGGCUCACUCAGCUGGAGGGUUGUUGACUGGUGACUGGAUGAUCUAAGAUGGUUAUGCCUGGGACAGAUAUAAAUAUAGAAGAAAGUAGAAAUUUGGUUUUGUUUGUAGCUCCUCUUAAAAUAUCCUAUCUGAUUUAAAAGACUACUGCCUAAUGCAAUAAUUGUACAUCUAAGUAGAUUGAUACACAAUGUAUUAAGGCCUCAAAAUAUAUGAAGAUGUAUAUUGGGACCAUAACAGCCCUAAGGGGUAGGGGAACAAAGCUAUAUAGAAACAAAAUUAAAAAAAAUACUAUUGAAGUAGUUGGUAGUAAUCCAAACUAGAUUAUUGUAAGCUAAAAUGCUAAUGGUAACCCCAAUAAUAAUCAUGAUAAAAUACUCAAAAAUAUAUAGUAAAAGAACUAACUGGAAAAUAGAAGUGGUACUGGAAGAUAUCUAUUUAACACAAGGCAGUAAUGGAAAAAAAAAGGAAGAACAAAAAAGACGUAAGUCACGUAAAAAACAAAUAACAAAAUGGCAGACGUAAAUUCUAUCUUACUUAUAUUAAAUAGUAAUAGAUUAAAUUCUCCAAUUAAAAGUCAGAAAUUGGAAGAGUGAAUGAAAAAAACAUUGUAUAAAUAUACGCUAUAUCUAUCCAACAAUAUGUAUACAAGAAACACACUUUUGAUUCAAAGACACAAAUUGGUUGAAAUUAAUAUGAUGGAAAGAGAUGGAUAACCAACAGAGAGCUGGAGGGACUAUGCUAAUAUUAGACAAAAUAGACACAUGUUGUUCCUGGAGACAAAGGACAUUUUAUAAUGACAUAAGGGUAAAUUCACCAAGAAGGUAUAACAAAUAUAAAUAUAUGUAUAUGUAACAACAGAAUCUCAAAAUACAUGAAGCAAAACUGACAGAAUUGAAGAGAGCAAUAGACAAUUUACCGGUAAUAAAGACUUCACUAUUCUACUUUCAACAACGGAUAGUGCAACUAAGCAAGAGAAUGAGAUUUAAUAUCUAGCAUUACCUUAAUUCUAUUUCUUUGUAAAAUAUAUCUUGGCUAUUUGUGUCCAAUUGUUACACUUACACAAACACAUUUAAAAAUUAGUAUUUCACACAUUAUAUAAAUGAUGCUAAGCAAGCAAUAGGAUUCUUUAUUUAAUCAUCACUUAAUUGUUUUUUUUUAAAAACUCAUCUACC